rnacentral:rRNA from 1 species
GAUGAACGCUAGCGACAGGCUUAACACAUGCAAGUCGAGGGGCAUCACGGGAGUAGCAAUACAACUGGUGGCGACCGGCGCACGGGUGAGUAACGCGUAUGCAACCUACCUAUCAGAGGGGAAUAACCCGGCGAAAGUCGGACUAAUACCGCAUAAAACAGGGACACCGCAUGGUGAUAUUUGUUAAAGAAAUUCGCUGAUAGAUGGGCAUGCGUUCCAUUAGGUAGUUGGUGAGGUAACGGCUCACCAAGCCGACGAUGGAUAGGGGAACUGAGAGGUUGGUCCCCCACACUGGUACUGAGACACGGACCAGACUCCUACGGGAGGCAGCAGUGAGGAAUAUUGGUCAAUGGGCGGGAGCCUGAACCAGCCAAGUCGCGUGCAGGAAGAAUGUCCUAUGGAUUGUAAACUGCUUUUGCAGGGGAAUAAAGUGCAUCACGUGUGAUGUUUUGUAUGUACUCUGCGAAUAAGGAUCGGCUAACUCCGUG